CCUACGGGUGGCUGCAGUGGGGAAUAUUGGACAAUGGGCGAAAGCCUGACCCAGCCAUGCCGCGUGUGUGAAGAAGGCCUUCGGGUUGUAAAGCACUUUCAGUGGGGAAGAAAGCCUUGGGGCUAAUACCCUCGAGGAAGGACAUCACCCACAGAAGAAGCACCGGCUAACUCCGUGCCAGCAGCCGCGGUAAUACGGAGGGUGCGAGCGUUAAUCGGAAUUACUGGGCGUAAAGCGCGCGUAGGCGGUCUGAUAAGCCGGUUGUGAAAGCCCCGGGCUCAACCUGGGAACGGCAUCCGGAACUGUCAGGCUAGAGUGCAGGAGAGGAAGGUAGAAUUCCCGGUGUAGCGGUGAAAUGCGUAGAGAUCGGGAGGAAUACCAGUGGCGAAGGCGGCCUUCUGGACUGACACUGACGCUGAGGUGCGAAAGCGUGGGUAGCAAACAGGAUUAGAUACCCCAGUGGUC
rnacentral:rRNA from 1 species